rnacentral:rRNA from 1 species
AGCGAACGCUGGCGGCAGGCUUAACACAUGCAAGUCGAACGGGCGUAGCAAUACGUCAGUGGCAGACGGGUGAGUAACGCGUGGGAACGUACCUUUUGGUUCGGAACAACUGAGGGAAACUUCAGCUAAUACCGGAUAAGCCCUUACGGGGAAAGAUUUAUCGCCGAAAGAUCGGCCCGCGUCUGAUUAGCUAGUUGGUGAGGUAACGGCUCACCAAGGCGACGAUCAGUAGCUGGUCUGAGAGGAUGAUCAGCCACACUGGGACUGAGACACGGCCAGACUCCUACGGGAGGCAGCAGUGGGGAAUAUUGGACAAUGGGCGCAAGCCUGAUCCAGCCAUGCCGCGUGAGUGAUGAAGGCCCUAGGGUUGUAAAGCUCUUUUGUGCGGGAAGAUAAUGACGGUACCGC